UAGGGAAUCUUCCGCAAUGGACGCAAGUCUGACGGAGCAACGCCGCGUGAGUGAAGAAGGAUUUCGGUUCGUAAAACUCUGUUGUUAGAGAAGAACAGCGCAUAGAGUAACUGUUAUGCGUGUGACGGUAUCUAACCAGAAAGCCACGGCUAACUACGUGCCAGCAGCCGCGGUAAUACGUAGGUGGCAAGCGUUGUCCGGAUUUAUUGGGCGUAAAGCGAGCGCAGGCGGUCAAUUAAGUCUGAUGUGAAAGCCCCCGGCUCAACCGGGGAGGGUCAUUGGAAACUGGUUGACUUGAGUGCAGAAGAGGAGAGUGGAAUUCCAUGUGCAGCGGUGAAAUGCGUAGAUAUAUGGAGGAACACCAGUGGCGAAGGCGACUCUCUGGUCUGUAACUGACGCUGAGGUUCGAAAGCGUGGGUAGCAAACAGG
rnacentral:rRNA from 1 species